GUGUUUCCUGUGCGGUGUGUAUUUUUAGCCUAUAUUUAGACUACAGAGAUAUUUCAGUAUUUGCGUUUAUCAUUGAAUCUGUAUAAGCAUGGUCUUUAUCGUUGGUUCUGUAACAGUAGUCAUACACAUGUUCCUCUGCAUUCUAUUGGAAAGUCGGUGAUGUUGUUUGUCAAAUAAAUUUUGGCUAAUCUGAACUGAAUGUUAUCAUAUUGUAUGUUUUUCUGGGUCAUAUUGUAUUUUUUAACAUAAUAAGAUGUUAAGUUUGACCACACAUUGCCCAUGAUCCCGGGUUUCUAAGCUUCUGUAUCUAUAUCAUCAUUUGGCAUGAAAAUGAAAGUGAGGACUCGUUUUUUGGUAAUUUAGUUCAUAUCUGUCUUUGUAAUUCAAAAGGAUGAUUAUGGUUGAUUGAAUGAGUGUACUCUUAAGGUAUAUCAAUUUCAGUACUUGGUUGAUAGGUACACUUAAAAUGUAGUUUGUAAUGGGAAGAUAACUGGUAUAUAUCUAUAUGCACAUGGCAUCCACCAUAUACGCAUGUUUUUUAGUCUAAAUGAAAUACAACCAGCAAAUGAUGCUGAUUUUUUCAAGCAGGCUAAACCAGAGACUCUGGACAA
rnacentral:misc_RNA from 1 species